rnacentral:rRNA from 1 species
UACGUAGGGGGCAAGCGUUGUCCGGAUUUACUGGGCGUAAAGCGCGUGUAGGCGGCUUCGUAAGUUGGAUGUGAAAUCCCACGGCUCAACCGUGGACGUGCAUCCAAAACUACGUCGCUGGAGUCUCGGAGAGGAAGGUGGAAUGCUUGGUGUAGAGGUGAAAUUCGUAGAUAUCAAGCAGAACACCUGCGGCGAAGGCGGCCUUCUGGACGAUGACUGACGCUGAGACGCGAAAGCGUGGGGAGCAAACAGG